CAACUUUAUACACACACGUUUAAGAUCCUACCUGUAAUAAGUUAAAAGAGAUAUAAACGGUCAUAUUUACAACUAUAUCUUGUGUGCACAAAUCAAGCAAUACAUUGUUUUCCGUGACGUUUGGAAUAUUAAACAGGUCUCAUGACAUGCUUGGCCGGUUAUGGUUCCAAGAAGAUUUUAGACAAGACUGAGGGACAAUCAUGCUCUGACAGUGCUAGUGUGGAUAUUUUAAAAAACAGUAGAGGACUCAGGACAUGCUCGAUAGGUUCCGAUUCCAUGACAAUUUUUAUCAAAAUUGUGGAUCAGUGCCAGGGUGGUUCUUGAUUAAGAAUAGUAGAGUUAUUCCCUUUUAUAAGUGAAUGUAUUGACAAUGAAGAAAUCGCCGAUUUUGUGAUGGAUAUGGAUGGAAAAGGAAAAGAAAAAUGCAGGCUGCUGCAGUUUACUUGCAAUACUGUGGCAUACUGCACCUGAAAUGAAAGUCUUGACUUUUAGAUGAGAGUAAAAAUAAUAAUUUUGUUACUUUGGUUGGUGUUUACUUUAUAAUUAUAAUAGCUUAAUGCUAAUUAUAAUUAUAUAACCUCUAUCCUCUUUAGGUCAGAUGUUGUUAUUUAGUAGUGAUUCUGGAUUGGUCGAGACAUGUGUAAGGUAACACGUAAGAUUCCAAAGAGGCACAAGCCGAUUAGAUAAAAAUGUGAUGUUCCAAAUUCAAAUAAUACAUUUAUUUCUUUGAAAUUCGAAAUAUUUGAAAAGAUGAUGAUGGAAAGCAUUAUUUUCAAAUGUAACAUUUGAAUAGCAGAUGUGAAUGGGAAUUUCGCCUCUCAAAUGCCUUCAACUAAUGAGGGGUGUGUUUGAAGAAAAGUGAAUUAGAUAAGCCUAAACGACAUUUUAUUUCUGCUUGUGUGGCUUGAUAUUUUAUUGAAUAAAUCAAAAUGCAAUGGUUCACUCUCAGUUUCUGGAUAUGUAAUAGAGCUAUCUAUUUAUACUUGGAGUCUAUUGGACAUAUUAACAACAGUGUCUGAAUUAAAGAAUGUUUAAUGUUAAUUGUGGAUUUAAUGCAAAAAUUGAUAUAGGAAAUGGUUUUGUUACUUUGGAUUUUCCUAGCAAGCUCAGAACUUACAAGUAAUACAAAUAUAGAUUUUUAAACAAGGGAUUUGGAACUUUGAGUUAAAAUAAGGACCUGCUGUACUCGAACUUUGCAUUAAGCAUAGUUUUGACAGGUGAUAAGAUGCGACCCAGUUGAUUCUUUCAAUUUUGUUGUAUGAGUAUAUUCAAUAUUUUCUCAGUGAGGAAUGUUGGAUGACUGCAUUGUUUCUUUACAAUAUAUCUUUUAUUUAGGUAUCUGCACAUGUUUCACUGGUUAUGGAUCCGUGAAGAAACUUAGACAUGAUUGUGGGUUCAGUCAUAUACUGAUUGAGCCAGAGUGAUUGAUUAUUGGUGAAGAAUAGUAGAGGUAUGACGCUAAAAGUACACACAACUUCAAACGUGCUUCUACAACCUCCUACAUUAUAAUAUAUGGAAUUUAUUUCUUAUUACCUUGAAGCAAAGAGAGAGUGUCUGGCGUUAAUUUUGUAUUUCUUAUUUCUCAUUAUAUAUGGUUAAUGAUGAUGUUCAUGUAAUUCAUUUGUUUUUCCAAGUUUAGAUGUUCGAAAUUCUAGUUGAAGGAGGAAAAUAAUUGAAAUGAUACAUACAGUUAAAAUUUAAGGCGGAAGAAGUUUUAAACAAUCUACAAUAAUUUAUUUAGUAGAAGAUGCAGUCUCUUUUGUUCAGUUGGAAGUCAAGACUAAAAAUUUAGUUAUUUUACCUGUAUAAAUCAUGUGUUCACUUACAGGCUCCAGUUAUAUCAUUGCGGGAAAAGUACUUUGUUUUUGUUUGUUAGAGUAGGAAAAAAAGGUAUCAUUUGAACAAGAUUAUUUCUGAAGAAGUUCAAACAUAUCUGAUUUGCUUUUCAGUAUGAUGUACAUGCUUUAUCACUGAUUGUCAAUAUUGGCGUUAAUCUGUUUCACAGAAAAAAGAAAAAUGCAAAACACAUUGUUUACAGAAUUGAAAUAUAGGUACAGAAAAAUAGAAAUGAAUUACCUCCCAUCGACUGUUUAGAAUGCUUAUGUUUCAAUUUUUUAACUGCUCAGUGAGAUAUUUUAGUCUAGGCAACAUAAUUGUUUUGCGAGAUUAGUAGGGCAGAUAUUCUUUGUUCAAAAAUAUGUAUUAAAGCUUUCAGUUGUAUCAAAUUAUGUUAAAAUAACAUAAACAUGACAUUCGUUUGGAGAUUUAAAAACAAAAAUCUUAACAUCUUAAUUUUUAUCUUUUUUUUUUCAUCGAUGGACUCUGCUUCCUGUAUGUAUAGUUGCGUCUGUUUCAAAUGUUUUGUUGUCUUUCUUUAACAUUACUGAUUUAGGUCUGAUUUCAUAUUAUUAAAGGAAUUGUAUUACAUCGGUCAU
rnacentral:lncRNA from 1 species